CAGCCGCCGCGGUAAUACGUAGGUGGCAAGCGUAGUCCGGAAUUAUUGGGCGUAAAGCGCGCGCAGGUGGUUUAAUAAGUCUGAUGUGAAAGCCCACGGCUCAACCGUGGAGGGUCAUUGGAAACUGUUAAACUUGAGUGCAGGAGAGAAAAGUGGAAUUCCUAGUGUAGCGGUGAAAUGCGUAGAGAUUAGGAGGAACACCAGUGGCGAAGGCGGCUUUUUGGCCUGUAACUGACACUGAGGCGCGAAAGCGUGGGGAGCAAACAGGAUUAGAUACCCGCGUAGUCCCUGUCUCUUAUAC
rnacentral:rRNA from 1 species